rnacentral:lncRNA from 1 species
CAUUGAAGGUGUGGAGGAUUCAGCGAGUCCACAUCCUCAGAGGCUGCCUGAGUGACCCAGGGGUUACAGAGGGGAUCCUCUAUAGGCAUGGUGGAACGGUCUAGCUGAACCCUGUGAAGGCAGCUGCUUUACCCGUGUGGAUCCCUGUGAGAGGCACCUCUCAGCAGGAGGGGUUCCAUUUCCAUCAGGCGAGAUGGGUCACAGGCACUCAGGUAUCCACAGAACUUUUCCAAGCGCAGGGCAUGAUUGGAGUGGCUCCCUGGGAUUUUCAGCGCCCUGUGGCCUUACUUGUUUCACAGACAGACACCAAAGAAAGGUUUGGACUGCAGUAUGUGGAGCCUGGUUGUCGUCCUGUCCCCUUGGACUGGAACAAGCACAAGUCCCAGAAGGUACCUGUUGCAGGGGAAGGAGAACAUCAGUCCUCAGAGCCGUCUGCUCUCAGUGAGAGAUUCCCACCUGAUGACCCACCUGAGGAGGUGAGGGAGGAAAACUUUGCUCAGGAUGACAUUUUUGGUGUAUCUUCUCUUGGCUCACAAACAAUGAUCCAGCCUGCACAGCCCACCAAAUUAAAAGAUGAGAUGACACCACCACUGCCCUUUGCUCCCUCUCCACAAGCUGCUCGCACAGGUCCCAUCAAGGCAGGCGGGCUACUUUUUGUCCUGGACCAUUUUCGGUGGACACAGCCCAUGAGGGAUUCCAUUGAUGGCCUUCUGGCAAAGUACCAUGGGCAGAAAGACCUUCUCACCCAGGUGGAUGCGGAGUAUGUUGCCCUUGUGCAGGCUGCCUCCAGGGAUCCCAGUAGCCUCUUACACCCCAC